UCAGACGAUGCGUCAUGCAUAUCAAUAAGCGGAGGAAAAGAAACUAACAAGGAUUCCCCUAGUAACGGCGAGUGAAGCGGGAAGAGCUCAAAUUUGGAAUCUUAAAGGGUUUCCCUUUACGAAUUGUAGUUUAAAGAAGUGUUUUCUGUUGAGGUUUUGGUAAAAGUUCUUUGGAAUAGGACAUCAUAGAGGGUGAGAAUCCCGUAUUUGACCUUUACUUUCAACUUUGUGAUACACUUUCAAAGAGUCGGAUUGUUUGGGAAUGCAGUCCAAAAUGGGUGGUAAAUUUCAUCUAAAGCUAAAUAUUGGCGAGAGACCGAUAGCGAACAAGUACCGUGAGGGAAAGAUGAAAAGAACUUUGAAAAGAGAGUUAAACAGUACGUGAAAUUGUCAAAAGGGAAGCGUUUGACACCAGUGUUGUUUUUCUGAAAAUCAAUUAAAGAACUGUUUAUGCUAAGCUGUUUAGACUUUAUCAGCUAUCUGUUUAGUUUUGAGCUUUUCUUUAAUGCACUUUUCAGUUAACAAGUCAACAUCAAUUUCUUUUGCUGUAAAAAAGCUUGAGGAAGGUGGCUUGAGAUUCGUCUUAAGUGUUUAUAGCCUCUUGCCUAUGCAGUCGGAGAGAUUGAGGUCUGCAGCGUAGAUCCUUCGGGGCUAAAUGCAUUUGUGCUAAGUUAUAGCAUUUUAUAGACAACUUGUUGACUAUGAUUUGUCUUGUAGCUUACUCGCUUAUGUUAUUUUACCUACGCUUAGGAUGUUGACACACGCGCGUGCUCG
rnacentral:rRNA from 1 species